rnacentral:lncRNA from 1 species
GAGAUGGUGCUGACUGCUGAAAUAAACUACUCAAGAGCUGUCAGAGGAUGAGAAUGUAAGGCUAAAACAUAAUAAAAAUUCAACUCAAUUUCCAUAUGCAGGAGACUUACGGUGUUAAAACAAUACCGAUCUUGUGAAUUUUUCCCAAGUCUCCGCAAACUCGACUCAAAGUAACCUAUAGCCUAAAACUUUCAAGAAGAUGCAUUUUUUUUAUUUUUUUAAUGACUAAAAACAAACAAAACACUAACAAAAACAAAGAAAACACACGAUUCCCUCCCCCAUACUUAAACU